rnacentral:rRNA from 1 species
UACGUAGGUGGCAAGCGUUGUCCGGAUUUAUUGGGUUUAAAGGGUGCGUAGGCGGCUUAUUAAGUCAGUGGUGAAAUACUCUAGCUCAACUAGAGGGGUGCCAUUGAUACUGAUGAGCUUGAGUACAGAUGAGGUAGGCGGAAUUGACGGUGUAGCGGUGUAAUGCUUAGAUAUCGUCAAGAACACCUAUAGCGAAGGCAGCUUACUAGGCUGUAACUGACGCUGAGGCACGAAAGUGUGGGGAUCAAACAGG